GGGGUGGAGCUUAGACAGAAUUCUAACAAUGUCCCUCUUUAAAUCUUCACUCUGCUGGGGGUUCCUCAGGGGAUGCCUGCACUGCCACAUCUCUGGGCAUCGGAUGACUGAAGGAUGACAAGAUGUGUCCCCAACCGCAAGUGCUUAUCGUGAGAUCAGGGUGGAGCUGCUGGCUAAGCAUAAAGGUGUGUCACCCAGGAUGGCAUUGACGUUGUUAAAGGAAGAUGCUGCCCACAGACAGGCCUGGCACCAGCAGAAAACGGACACCGGGGAUAGCGAUGGAUGAUGUAUUCCCAGCACUGGGGUUACAGGUAGAGAACCUGCAGGCCAAGGGCAAUGCCAAGAACUCGAAGAGUUCUUGCCAACAUCUCCAGUCUGUCCCACACAUGGGGUCGCCACAGUCCUGCCUCCUCUGGAAGUCGAUUCUCCGAUGUGGCAGUGAGAAGCUGGAUCCUGUUGCUUCCGGCCGUCUCACUCACUCAUCCCCCUUGUCUGAGCCAACCCUCAUCUCACAGUUCACUGGUACUCCAGCUGGUCCUCAGCCAACCACCCAGUGAUGUAGGAAGAGCCCGGAGGAGCGGCAUAGGGCGAGCCUCACGCGCCUGCUCGUCAACACAUCUUGUACACUCUGGGCCCCAGAACCAGCUCCUGGAAGAAGCGUUUGUACUGCAUCCCUGGAUCCCUGAUUGGGUUUGUCUCCUUUCAGAGAGAGAGCCCCAAAGAAGCAGUACUGCAUCCCUGGAUCCCUGAUUGGGUUUGUCUCCUUUCAGAGAGAGAGCCCCAAAGAAGCACCUGGGCAGUCGGUUAUGAACAGCAGUGCUGACUUUGGGGCAGCACCAACCCCACUGCAAGGGCCCUUAAACUUACUUGGUGGCUCCUUAAAAGCCAACUUUCCACCCAACCCUCCUGACGAUACCCUCUAGUUUAACAAUAGCCCGUGUUUCCUGUCUUGAAUCGGCUGACUCCAGGACCCAAGUCUUAUGUGAGAGUCUUCACAGUCCUCCCUCUGUUCAAUCAUGGGACAUCUUCCAGGACCCAUGGAAUACAUAUGAAAAGAGUGUGAACUGGGACCCGCAGUGCUAAAUGAGCGCUCAUGGACCCUGCAAAGGGGUGCCCAUGACUUGGGGAACGGUUGAGUAUCCCUCCCUCUUCCUUACAACAGCAAACAACUCUCGUUCCCUCCGUGUGCGCGACUCUUGAAUUCUCUCAAGCUGGGGACCGAACCCAGGGCUUUGC
rnacentral:sRNA from 1 species